UGGGGGGCGGGGACUAGGCCCUCGAGUCACUUCCGGGAGCGCGGGGUCGAGUCUCUGGGCGUUGCGGCGACAGAGUUUGGCGGGCGAAAGCAAACAGAGGAUUUCCCUGGUGGCGCAGUGGUUAAGAAUCCGCCUGCCAAUGCAGGGGACACAGGUUCAAGCCCUGGUCCGGGAAGAUCCCACAUGCCACGGAGCAACUAAGCCUGUGUGCCACAACUACUGAGCCUGCUCUCUAGAGCCCGCGAGCCACAACUACUGAGCCAAUGUACCUAGAGCCCGUGCUCCUCAACAAGAGAAGCCACCGCAAUAAGAAGCCCAUGCACCGCAACUAGAGAAAGCCUGCGUGCAGCAACGAAGGCCCAACGCAGCCAAAAAAGAAAAAUUUACAUUUUAAGUUGGGCUGUUAACAAAUACACAGAUGAAUUGGAAAUGUCUUCCCUUACCAGUACAGCCAAAUCUGCUUGAGAAGCACCACCAAUCAUAUUUGGGACAAAACUCUUGUGGCCAGGGGCAUCUAGAAUUGUAAAAUGCUUCUUUUCCGUUUCAAAAUAGGCACGACCCACUUCUACUGUUUUACCCUUGUCUCGUUCUUCCUGAUUUGUGUCUAAGGCCCAAGAUAAGUACCUGAAAUAAUUUUAAAAUAAGAAUAAUACUGGUAAGUACAUGAAAGUUUUAAAAACAUUCUCCUACCAACAUUUAAAUCAUGAACAAGACUGGGUAGAAAUAAAAAUUAAAUGACUAAAACUUGUAUUCUUGUGACUCAAACACUCAGUGCUUUUAUAUAUAUCCAGUGUCAAUUAUAUAUUCUAUAAGCAAACAUUAUGUAUGAGAACAAGCUGACAACAAAGAAAGAUUAUUUAGUACCAAUGCCAAUAUCACCAUGAGUUAAGUAAUAAGUUCCUUUAUAUUUCAUUUUAAAAAUCAUCUAGCACAAAGUAUAAUACAAAUAAGGCUGUCUAAGGGUAUCUUUCAAAAGUAAAGGACACUAAUCCACCAUUUGGGAGCAACGGUUACUUGCUAAAAAUUAUUUUGGUAUUUCUUCGCUAUAUAAGAAUUACUUAUAUAAAUUUAAACCAUCUCUAACAGUAGGUGUUAAUUUAGAUGACAUCAUUUGUAUUUCAUAGUAAGUAAUCCAUUUUUUAGUAUUAUACUGAUUAGGAUUUUUUCCCUUAACACAGAAAUACAAUUAAAAAAAAAAAAAGACCAUCAAUGUCCUAUUUAGAUAAAGCUUGUUAACUUAAAUAAGGUUAGAAAGAAGAAAAAAGCUGACCCUUUCUCUCACCAUGCAAAGGCAACCACUGUCAAUAAUUCCAUCUAUUCUUUCUUCAUUAUUCACAUAAUGAUCAUACCCUAAAGUACUAUUAUGUUACCUGCUUUCUCCCCAAAUUCCACUGUAACAUCAGUUCUAUUCCUGGUUCCUAUAAAUUCUAUAAAUGAAAUUUUAGUGGCCAGAUAAUGACUUAAUUAAAUAGAUAUUUUAUAAUUUAUCCCACAAGCCUCCUAUUAUUAUCCUGGAUGUUUGGAUAUUUCCAGAUUUUCUCUGGGUAAAGUUAUGAAGUCAUCAGGAACUGAUCUACUAGGUAGUAUGAGGGGAAGGGAAACUUUUCCUUUGUUAUGACACCAUUUUAGACCUCAUGAACUUACAUCUUAGUAGACUACAAAAGCAUUAAGUAGGCAGAGUUUCCUUAAAAGUAAUUUAUAGUGUCAUAAAAGUUUACCAAGUUUCUCUGUUUUUUUCUUUAGCUUCUCUUUCAUAUUUCUCAAGUGUCCUCUUGUCAACCAUUCCAGUCAAAUACCUGAAAA